rnacentral:lncRNA from 1 species
CAUGGACAUCCUGCUUCUACAUUAUUGUAGCACUUCUCACUCAUAGCUGCGACUUUGUGUGCUGAGUAUACACUUGCUUUGAUUCUUCUGAACAGGUAAUUAACUCGCACUUCUCUACAGAUUUGAGUCCUCCUCCCACCCGGAUUUUUGGAAGAGGCUUUGGGGUCUUAUGAGAUGACUUAUUUGGCUAGCAUUCAUCAGUGUGGCCACCAGAAAAAUGUUGGGUGGGUCUGAACAUGAAGAAAACAAUAAAAAUUGUCUGUACUGGAGGCAUUGUCCCCACCUCCCCCCAAACUCACCGAAGGCAAAGCAGAGAUCCUGUCUAUUUCUCAUCAGCUUCUUAAUUAUUCCUAGAAAUAAUAAUGGGUCACCAUUGUUGACCUCUCCAAUUCAUCUGCUACUUCUUUUAACUGGCCUCUUUGAUUUGGACCAACCGACUCACUUUCAGCCACAGUAAGGAAUCCUGGGGACGGGAGGAGGGCUAGAAAGCACUAAAUAUAAAUAUCUGCUUGCCUCAACUGCUCCCCAAAUGUUUUCCAUUACUGGAGCUUCGAGCGCAAGCACACGUCCAAGACAGCAAUCACAACAUCAAAUAGGGCCAAGAUGACCCCCCUCGGUCCCCCGACGUCCCAAUCAGUCACCACCUCCCGGAAGGAAAACAAACCGGCCCCAGACACAGCCCUCCACGUGCAGCGGGCGCCCCAAGGCUUCCCGGCAAAGGGGCGACGCGCGUCCCCAGCACUGCGCGCACCGCCGCGCCCUUCCAGGUGGCCUCGCGUACCUGGCGGCGGUGCCCGCGCCUCGGACGAGGCCGGCGGGCUGGGGUGCCGGCGGCGCGCGCGCUCGCCCGGGGGUCGGGACCCUGGCGGCGGCGGCGGCGGCGGCGGGGCCCCCUCCGCAGCUCCCCGGGCUCCCAUCGCCGCCCUCCCGCCCCGGGUGGGGCCGCGGCCGCGGGCUCUCGGCCGCUGCCUGGAAGCCAGAGGGUCAGAUUCAGUUUCACAACAAAGUCUCUCCCCGUCACUGCAACCGGACUGGAGGCCAAAGCGGCCGGGCAGCCCGGGCAGCGGCCGGAGCGCAGCCGCCGCGGGCGAAGGGGAAAGAAGAUCCAGCCCACUAGCUUAG